rnacentral:rRNA from 1 species
ACGGCUUGCAGUGGAGCCCGCGUGUCGGUUUCGGCCGUUCAUGUGGACUUGCGAUGUCCUGGCCGGUGCUCGACGGUGUAACUAUUGGCACAGGGCGCGAAUUUUCGCGUUCGACCUGCUGCAAGCGCGUAUGGUCACCCUUUCCUCGGACAUGUGCCGUGAUUGGAGCCGUACGGCUGUUUGUAGUGGUGUUCUUGAACAGUCUCUGAUUGCCUGUCAGCGGCGCUAUUGCUUUGGGUACUUUCAGGACCCGUCUUGAAACACGGACCAAGGAGUCUAGCAUGUACGCGAGUCAUUGGGACUAUCGAAUCCUAAAGGCGUAAUGAAAGUAAAACUGAGCUUUGCUCGGUGAGGGAAGAUGGGUGACUUGUCGCCUCGCACUCCCGGGGCGUUUCGUUCUCAUUGCGAGAUGAGGCGUACCUUGAGCGUACACGCUGGGA